rnacentral:rRNA from 1 species
CGAAGGUUGGCUAAUCCUGGUCGGACAUCAGGAGGUUAGUGCAAUGGCAUAAGCCAGCUUGACUGCGAGCGUGACGGCGCGAGCAGGUGCGAAAGCAGGUCAUAGUGAUCCGGUGGUUCUGAAUGGAAGGGCCAUCGCUCAACGGAUAAAAGGUACUCCGGGGAUAACAGGCUGAUACCGCCCAAGAGUUCAUAUCGACGGCGGUGUUUGGCACCUCGAUGUCGGCUCAUCACAUCCUGGGGCUGAAGUAGGUCCCAAGGGUAUGGCUGUUCGCCAUUUAAAGUGGUACGCGAGCUGGGUUUAGAACGUCGUGAGACAGUUCGGUCCCUAUCUGCCGUGGGCGCUGGAGAACUGAGGGGGGCUGCUCCUAGUACGAGAGGACCGGAGUGGACGCAUCACUGGUGUUCGGGUUGUCAUGCCAAUGGCACUGCCCGGUAGCUAAAUGCGGAAGAGAUAAGUGCUGAAAGCAUCUAAGCACGAAACUUGCCCCGAGAUGAGUUCUCCCUGACUCCUUGAGAGUCCUGAAGGAACGUUGAAGACGACGACGUUGAUAGGCCGGGUGUGUAAGCGCAGCGAUGCGUUGAGCUAACCGGUACUAAUGAACCGUGAGGCUUAACCUUACAACGCCGAAGGUGUUU